CAGCAGCCGCGGGAAUACGAAGGGGGCUAGCGUUGCUCGGAAUGACUGGGCGUAAAGGGCGCGUAGGCGGCGAUCAAAGUCAGGCGUGAAAUUCCUGGGCUCAACCUGGGGGCUGCGCUUGAUACUUGGUUGCUUGAGUGGGGAAGAGGGUCGUGGAAUUCCCAGUGUAGAGGUGAAAUUCGUAGAUAUUGGGAAGAACACCGGUGGCGAAGGCGGCGACCUGGUCCUUGACUGACGCUGAGGCGCGAAAGCGUGGGGAGCAAACAGGAUUAGAUACCCGCGUAGUCCCUGUCUCUUAUAC
rnacentral:rRNA from 1 species